UCUAAGGAAGAAAGUAAGGGUUGUUUUACUGUUCAGUUAUCAAGAAAGCUUAGUAAAUUUAAGUAAUUCCUUCAAAAAGUUAAUUAGAUGAUAAGCUAUAUUGGUAACAAAAUUUCUGGUGGCGAUGCGACUUGGGGACACACCCGUUCUCAUCCCGAACACGAUGGUUAAGACCUUGUCGGCCGAUGAUACUAUGCUGGAGACGGCAUGGGAAAGUAGGUGGCUGCCAGAUUUAUAUAGAAUCAAAUACAAAAGUAAGACCUAGUACAGUUACAGUUGUACUGUUUAUAUAGAUUUUACUGGCUUUUGACCAGUGAUUAGAUAUUAGAAAUGCGUUUCUAGUAUGUAAUGACUGAUUAAAAACAGUCAGAAGUUACGAAAGUAACUUCCAAAAGAUGAUUGUACCUUGAAAACUACACAUUGUAACGAAAUGAUUACAGAAAUGUAAUCAAGUCAGACAUCCGAAUUCAGAAAUGAAUUCAAAACAAUUAACCGAUUACAUGGAUUCAGGAGUCGUCCUGAUGAAGUGAUAAUGUAAACCUAUAAUCUUAACAAGAUUAAAACGUCAUAAAUGACGUAACUA
rnacentral:misc_RNA from 1 species